AUUUCUUGAAAAAUGAAGUUAAUGUCUUCACUUAUUAAUGACUUUAAAAGGAGAUAUAACUUACUGACUUGAGAUAAAACCUUUAUCAUCAUUAGUUUUAGGUUGUUUAGUGAGAUUUUAACCUAAGGAAUUAUGCCUUACUUGUUGCCUUUUAUAAACUAGUAGUGAAGACUAUAAAAAGUUAUUUAUCAAGGAUUCCUUGAUGUAAACUGAUAAACAUCUUUAUAUUAAAGAGAAAUUGAGUCACUGAAUGAACAAUUGACUCACCUCUGUGUCUAUGAAUUGUUUUAACUAACAUAUUCUCUAUUGUAACAUCUUCUGCUUGAGUAUAUAUAAAUAUAGGUAUUAAGAAAUAGUAUGUUUUUCUUGUAUUCAUAGACUGUAGGAAGAGGCAGAACUCUACUUCUUCAAGCAAAGGAGGAUUUCUCUGGCUACGACUUUGAAAACAGAUUGCACGUCCGCAUCCAUGCUGCUCUGGCCUCUCUGAGAGAAUUGGUUCCUCAGUGACAGACCCCGAGUGCCUGGCUCUGUCCCUCCCCACCCAGGGUCUGCACUUUAAAAUAAAAGCAGAGGACAAAGUUCUUGUGAAGAUCGGCUUUUCUUCUGAAAACCACCUGUGCCAGGGACACACUUUCCCAGUAGAUCUUUUUCAAACAUAUAGCUAAAAAGUAAGAUGAUGCUAAUGAUGAUGAUAACUAGCCACCUGGGGAGAAGGUUAAGUGACCUUGUUUAAACAUUUUAGUUUUGUGAUUUAUUGUUUUUAAAAUAAAAUCGAACUAAAUAUUCAACCUG